CGUGUCCUCACCUUGGGCUGAAUUCCAGCCUCGGCGCCCAGGUAAGGUCAUGGCCGGGGCGUGGGGCUGCUUUGUGCUUGGCAGUCGGAACCGGUGGGCUCUGUGAAGCCCCAGGUCAGCCGGGUGACCCAUGUAUGGCUGGAACAGAGAAGAGCCCAGCGCCCUACGACGCCCCGCCUCCACACACGCCCCCUCCGUCCGGGCCUAGGGCUCGCACUUUCCCUGGCACCGUCUUCGCAAGGGCAAGGGUGCGUGUGUAUGGACACGAUUCCCUUCCUCGGUCGCUGAGAACAAAAUCCAGGAACCUACAAGAAGCGGGGGCGUGCGGAGGGCCUCCGUUUUGGAUCUCCCGAGCCCACUCAUUGGCUACAGCCACGCCUUUCAGAGGUCACAGCGCAGCGUUGCUCGUGCAUUUACCGAAAGCACCUUCAGAGCCACGAGGGGAGACGGCUGACAGACGGGCUGCGAGGGAAACGAGCUCCUGACCGCAUCGCUCUGAAGUAGGAAGGCAGUCGUCAGAGGAGGCCGCGCUCAUUGUGCUCCGUUAGUUCAGCACGCUCCCUGGCAGCUAUUAAUUUCUGAAAAUAGCAGCGAGGUCUGAGACCUCAUUGGAGGUUCAUCAACAUUUCUGGUAUUACUCAGUUUUCAGAAGUCGCAAC
rnacentral:lncRNA from 1 species